UACGUAGGGUGCGAGCGUUAAUCGGAAUUACUGGGCGUAAAGCGUGCGCAGGCGGUUUUGUAAGCCCGAUGUGAAAUCCCCGGGCUUAACCUGGGAAUGGCAUUUGGGACUGCAAGGCUUGAGUUUGGCAGAGGAGACUGGAAUUCCUGGUGUAGCAGUGAAAUGCGUAGAUAUCUGGAGGAACACCGGUGGCGAAGGCGGCAUCCUGGACCAACACUGACACUGAGGAGCGAAAGCCAGGGGAGCAAACGGG
rnacentral:rRNA from 1 species